rnacentral:rRNA from 1 species
GAUGAACGCUGGCGGCAGGCUUAACACAUGCAAGUCGAACGCCCCGCAAGGGGAGUGGCAGACGGGUGAGUAACACGUGGGAAUCUACCUAGUUCUACGGAAUAGCCCAGGGAAACUUGGAUUAAUACCGUAUACGCCCUAUGGGGGAAAGAUUUAUCGGAAUUAGAUGAGCCCGCGGUUGAUUAGCUAGUUGGUGAGGUAAUGGCUCACCAAGGCGACGAUCAAUAGCUGGUCUGAGAGGAUGACCAACCACACUGGAACUGAGACACGGUCCAGACUCCUACGGGAGGCAGCAGUGAGGAAUAUUGGACAAUGGAGGAAACUCUGAUCCAGCCAUGCCGCGUGAGUGAUGAAGGCUUUAGGGUUGUAAAGCUCUUUUAGCGGGGAAGAUAAUGACGGUACCCGCAGAAAAAGCCCCGGCUAACUUCGUGCCAGCCGCCGCAGUAA